UUUAAAACAAACAAAAUUUUUUUGUUCGAUUCACAGAAAAUCCCUCAAUCCAUAUUCUCCUUGAACAGGUCAUGUGCCCCGCACUACCUCGUCCGUGUAUAACCGUUCCUGAAACCAUUUUAACUGACACCACGUUCUCCACUUGCACAGCGACUGAAACUACACCGUAACGGUUACUUCCUACCUCAUAUAACCUCUUUUUUUCUUUUCCUCUCUCUCUCUCUCUCUCUCAAAUCCCUCAUUUUCGUUCCCUCACAAGGCUGGAGCUUUUCAUCCCUCGACCAAAGGAAUUCAAGAAGAGAUGGCUUCAUCCAUCCGCUUUUUGUGCAUCAUCA
rnacentral:lncRNA from 1 species